rnacentral:rRNA from 1 species
AUACGUAGGGAGCGAGCGUUGUCCGGAAUUACUGGGUGUAAAGGGUGCGUAGGCGGGACUGCAAGUCAGAUGUGAAAUGCCGGGGCUCAACCCCGGAGCUGCAUUUGAAACUGUGGUUCUUGAGUGAGGUAGAGGUAAGCGGAAUUCCUAGUGUAGCGGUGCAAUGCAUAGAUAUUAGGAGGAACAUCGGUGGCGAAGGCGGCUUACUGGGCCUUUACUGACGCUGAGGCACGAAAGCGUGGGGAGCAAACAGGAUUAGAUACCCUGGUAGUCCACGCUGUAAACGAUGAUGACUAGGUGUGGGGGGACUGAACCCUUCCGUGCCGCAGUUAACACAAUAAGUCAUCCACCUGGGGAGUACGGCCGCAAGGUUGAAACUCAAAUGAAUUGACGGGG